UUUUUAAGAAUUAAUCAUGGAGCUAUACAUAAUAUUAAAUUGGCUUUUAGGAGGAGGAAGCUGCACCCCCUACCCCGCCUCUGCUUAUACUGCGCCCUUGUCGUCAGAUAGAUCCUAUAUAAGCAGAACGGCAUAGUCAAAAUAACUCAGUAACAAUUUUAACACGAUAGUGCUAUCAUUCUCUUUUUAAAAUGCUAAGACUCGCAUUUUUUUUACUCGUUGUAAUAAUUGCUGUAAGCCUCUAUGGAUCUGUGGCAGGCUGCGUUUGGCCUCCCUGCGAAAACAUGGAUGGCAAAUUUAAAUACCCGAUCCCAAUGUUGAAUAGAGAUAAUUAAAACGGAACUGUAUUUCAUGUUUUAAUUAUUUUAAAAAACGGAUGUUAUAUUCUCCUGAAAAUAAAACUAAUAAGCUAAACUUAUUGUUUUUUAGUUAUUAAAGAUUAAAAUGUAAUGUAUUAAAUAUAAUGCUCAAAAUUGGGCCAAGGACCCGAACAAACCAGAUACAUACAAGACCGUCUUUAUACUUUUAGUAGCAGAUAAUAAUAUUUUCAAUUAGAUGUUAAAAGCAAGUUUUCUAUGAUAUCGGUUCAUAUAUAUAACAUUUUAAAACCAACUUAGUUAAUAUUUCGAACAAUCUAUUUCUCCCAGUGUUAGAGUCCCUGAAGUUUUUGCAUCUUAUUUUCACCCAUAAAUUCAAAGUAACUUAGGUAAAUAUAUAUUUUAAUAUGUCCCAUUAUAUAUACUCAAUCACGGCUAUAAUGAAAAUGUUUUGAAUACUUAAUAAAGUUAUUGCCACGCUUAAAAUUCCAGCUUUACACGACAGUACUUCAAACUGCUGGGCACAAUUCAUCUAUCAAUUUUGCCAACAGGUCGCUGCUGUCGUCAUUGUCCUAAACAUACAAUGGAUUUCUGUGUGAAUAAUGCGUAUACGUAUCGAAUCGGAGGCAGCAACCGUCAACAAUUGGCUUCCACUUCAGUUACUGGCGGGUUACCAAACGCAAAAGAAGUUCCGAAAAUGCUGCCGUGGGUUCUUGAAAAGUUAACAAGCCGUAAUCAAAAUUUGUGGUAAUACAUUAAAAUGUGAGAACUACGUAAUUAAAAUUGCGGGAACUAAAAGUUA